rnacentral:rRNA from 1 species
UUCGCAAUGCCCGAAAGGGUGACGAAGCGACGCCGCGUGCGGGAAGAAGGCCUUCGGGUUGUAAACCGCUGUCGGGAGUUAAGAAAUGCAAGGAUGUUAAUAGCGUCUUUGCUUGACUAAGGCUCCGGAGGAAGCCACGGCUAACUCUGUGCCAGCAGCCGCGGUAAUACAGAGGCGGCAAGCGUUGUUCGGAAUUAUUGGGCGUAAAGAGCACGUAGGCGGCUGUGUAAGUCGGUUGUGAAAGCCUUCCGCUCAACGGAAGAACGGCAUCCGAUACUGCAUGGCUUGAGUGCGGGAGGGGAGAGUGGAACUUCUGGUGGAGCGGUGAAAUGCGUAGAUAUCAGAAGGAACGCCGGCGGCGAAAGCGACUCUCUGGCCCGUAACUGACGCUGAGUGUGCGAAAGCUAGGGGAGCAAACGGGAUUAGAUACCCCGGUAGUCCUAGCCGUAAACGAUGGGCACUAAGUAGAGGGGUUUU